UCGCUCGGUUCGCCGAGAGGAAAGUCCGGACACCACAGAGCGGAACUCCGUUUGAAAGGACGGGGCGGUCGCGGAAAACGCAACCGCAUGGAAAGUGCAACAGAAAACAAACCGCCGCGCAAGCGGUAAGGGUGAAAAGGGGGCGUAAGAGACCACCGCCGUCGGAGCAAUCCCGACGGGCAAUGUAAACCCAGUUCGGUGCAAGACAACGUAGGAUGUGGGGCUGCUCGUCCGCAACACAUCGGGUAUGUCGCACCCCGCAAGGGGGCGCGGGGUCGGAGCAAUCCGCCCGCGCAGAUAAAUGAAUGCCGAUUCGCAAGAAUCACAGAAUCCGGCUUACGCUCC
rnacentral:RNase_P_RNA from 1 species